rnacentral:RNase_MRP_RNA from 13 species
GGAGACUUUUGUAUUCAUUUCAUUUGAUAGUGGGGAAAUUCCCCGGACGCUCAGGCAGAAAGUGCCAACCGGAAACGGUAAUUGAAAUAAGAUGGAAUACAUUUGGCGAAGAUGGGUAAAACCAGAGCCUGUUGACCUACUUAUUUCAUUUCGUCCUAUCAAAGUUAUGCCACCUAAUAGUCUUUGACUAUGAACACAUAACGGGGAUUAU